UACGUAGGGUGCAAGCGUUAAUCGGAAUUACUGGGCGUAAAGCGUGCGCAGGCGGUUAUAUAAGACAGAUGUGAAAUCCCCGGGCUCAACCUGGGAACUGCAUUUUCGUAAACGUACGUACGUAAAGUACGUACGUAAGGACGUAACGGUUAGGGUAAGGGGGGAAGGGUUGGGGUAAGGUUAACCGUUUCCCGUUGGUUAGGUACGACGGGUUGGAAAAAAUUGGCCGGUUAAGGAAUUAAUUAGGGAACGGGGAAACGGAAACCCAACCGGUAGGUCGGGAACGGGAACGGGACCCAAACCUUCCCCGGUACGGUACCGUAGUUAACCUUGGAACCGACCUUCGAAGGUUGGCCGAAAACGG
rnacentral:rRNA from 1 species